UUGCUCUUCAACGAGGAAUGCCUAGUAAGCGCAUGUCAUCAGCAUGCGUUGAUUACGUCCCUGCCCUUUGUACACACCGCCCGUCGCUACUACCGAUUGAAUGGCUCAGUGAGGCCUUCGGACUGGCUUGGGGAGGUUGGCAACGACCACCCUAAGCCGGAAAGUUCGUCAAACUCGGUCAUUUAGAGGAAGUAAAAGUCGUAACAAGGUUUCCGUAGGUGAACCUGCGGAAGGAUCAUUACCUAGAGUUUGUAGACUUCGGUCUGCUACCUCUUACCCACGUCUUUUGAGUACCUUCGUUUCCUCGGCGGGUCCGCCCGCCGAUUGGACAACAUUCAAACCCUUUGCAGUUGCAAUCAGCGUCUGAAAAAACAUAAUAGUUACAACUUUCAACAACGGAUCUCUUGGUUCUGGCAUCGAUGAAGAACGCAGCGAAAUGCGAUAAGUAGUGUGAAUUGCAGAAUUCAGUGAAUCAUCGAAUCUUUGAACGCACAUUGCGCCCCUUGGUAUUCCAUGGGGCAUGCCUGUUCGAGCGUCAUUUGUACCUUCAAGCUCUGCUUGGUGUUGGGUGUUUGUCUCGCCUCUGCGUGUAGACUCGCCUUAAAACAAUUGGCAGCCGGCGUAUUGAUUUCGGAGCGCAGUACAUCUCGCGCUUUGCACUCACAACGACGACGUCCAAAAGUACAUUUUUACACUCUUGACCUCGGAUCAGGUAGGGAUACCCGCUGAACUUAAGCAUAUCAAUAAGCGGAGGA
rnacentral:rRNA from 1 species